GCAAGGGGGUCAUCCCGACUUACCAACCCGAUGCAAACUGCGAAUACCGGAGAAUGUUAUCACGGGAGACACACGGCGGGUGCUAACGUCCGUCGUGAAGAGGGAAACAACCCAGACCGCCAGCUAAGGUCCCAAAGUCAUGGUUAAGUGGGAAACGAUGUGGGAAGGCCCAGACAGCCAGGAUGUUGGCUUAGAAGCAGCCAUCAUUUAAAGAAAGCGUAAUAGCUCACUGGUCGAGUCGGCCUGCGCGGAAGAUGUAACGGGGCUAAACCAUGCACCGAAGCUGCGGCAGCGACACUAUGUGUUGUUGGGUAGGGGAGCGUUCUGUAAGCCUGUGAAGGUGUGCUGUGAGGCAUGCUGGAGGUAUCAGAAGUGCGAAUGCUGACAUAAGUAACGAUAAAGCGGGUGAAAAGCCCGCUCGCCGGAAGACCAAGGGUUCCUGUCCAACGUUAAUCGGGGCAGGGUGAGUCGACCCCUAAGGCGAGGCCGAAAGGCGUAGUCGAUGGGAAACAGGUUAAUAUUCCUGUACUUGGUGUUACUGCGAAGGGGGGACGGAGAAGGCUAUGUUGGCCGGGCGACGGUUGUCCCGGUUUAAGCGUGUAGGCUGGUUUUCCAGGCAAAUCCGGAAAAUCAAGGCUGAGGCGUGAUGACGAGGCACUACGGUGCUGAAGCAACAAAUGCCCUGCUUCCAGGAAAAGCCUCUAAGCAUCAGGUAACAUUAAAUCGUACCCCAAACCGACACAGGUGGUCAGGUAGAGAAUACCAAGGCGCUUGAGAGAACUCGGGUGAAGGAACUAGGCAAAAUGGUGCCGUAACUUCGGGAGAAGGCACGCUGAUAUGUAGGUGAAGUCCCUCGCGGAUGGAGCUGAAAUCAGUCGAAGAUACCAGCUGGCUGCAACUGUUUAUUAAAAACACAGCACUGUGCAAACACGAAAGUGGACGUAUACGGUGUGACGCCUGCCCGGUGCCGGAAGGUUAAUUGAUGGGGUUAGCGGUAACGCGAAGCUCUUGAUCGAAGCCCCGGUAAACGGCGGCCGUAACUAUAACGGUCCUAAGGUAGCGAAAUUCCUUGUCGGGUAAGUUCCGACCUGCACGAAUGGCGUAAUGAUGGCCAGGCUGUCUCCACCCGAGACUCAGUGAAAUUGAACUCGCUGUGAAGAUGCAGUGUACCCGCGGCAAGACGGAAAGACCCCGUGAACCUUUACUAUAGCUUGACACUGAACAUUGAGCCUUGAUGUGUAGGAUAGGUGGGAGGCUUUGAAGUGUGGACGCCAGUCUGCAUGGAGCCGACCUUGAAAUACCACCCUUUAAUGUUUGAUGUUCUAACGUUGACCCGUAAUCCGGGUUGCGGACAGUGUCUGGUGGGUAGUUUGACUGGGGCGGUCUCCUCCUAAAGAGUAACGGAGGAGCACGAAGGUUGGCUAAUCCUGGUCGGACAUCAGGAGGUUAGUGCAAUGGCAUAAGCCAGCUUGACUGCGAGCGUGACGGCGCGAGCAGGUGCGAAAGCAGGUCAUAGUGAUCCGGUGGUUCUGAAUGGAAGGGCCAUCGCUCAACGGAUAAAAGGUACUCCGGGGAUAACAGGCUGAUACCGCCCAAGAGUUCAUAUCGACGGCGGUGUUUGGCACCUCGAUGUCGGCUCAUCACAUCCUGGGGCUGAAGUAGGUCCCAAGGGUAUGGCUGUUCGCCAUUUAAAGUGGUACGCGAGCUGGGUUUAGAACGUCGUGAGACAGUUCGGUCCCUAUCUGCCGUGGGCGCUGGAGAACUGAGGGGGGCUGCUCCUAGUACGAGAGGACCGGAGUGGACGCAUCACUGGUGUUCGGGUUGUCAUGCCAAUGGCACUGCCCGGUAGCUAAAUGCGGAAGAGAUAAGUGCUGAAAGCAUCUAAGCACGAAACUUGCCCCGAGAUGAGUUCUCCCUGACUCCUUGAGAGUCCUGAAGGAACGUUGAAGACGACGACG
rnacentral:rRNA from 1 species